rnacentral:rRNA from 1 species
UACGUAGGGUGCAAGCGUUGUCCGGAUUUAUUGGGCGUAAAGAGCGUGUAGGCGGCCUUACAGGUCAGCUGUGAAAACUCGAGGCUCAACCUCGAGACGUCGGUUGAAACCGUAUGGCUAGAGUCCGGAAGAGGAGAGUGGAAUUCCCGGUGUAGCGGUGAAAUGCGCAGAUAUCGGGAGGAACACCGGUGGCGAAGGCGGUUCUCUGGGACGGUACUGACGCUGAGACGCGAAAGCGUGGGGAGCGAACAGG